rnacentral:lncRNA from 1 species
UUUGGUCAAAUGCCGCACCACUCUUGGACAGGUAUUAGCUUUAUUUCCUGUGGAGAUGGUAGAAAACUCAGCUUACAGAAAUGGCAUUUCACGUAGUAUAACGCAAGACAUUAGGUACUAAAACUCAACUAACUGUUUCCGAAUUUCAGGGCCCCUCCAAGGAUCCCAGAAAUCAUCAUCUCUGAACAUGCCUUCAGAGAAAUGGCAUUGACCGUCCAUUACAAACUAACGUACACUGUAUCUGUUCUUUACGACAUUGCAUGUGGAAAGGAUCUGAAGAGAUUUCUCCUGGUACAUAAUAAUCUACUCCUUUGCUACGUUAAUAAGAGAUGUAAAAACAUGCAACAGUUCCAGUGCCAACAUUGUCCAAGGAUUGUGCAAUUCUUUCUGGAGCGCUAAAAUUGACCAGAUUAGACGCAUCAGAAUAUUGAAUUGCAGAGUUAGCCAAUAAUCCUCAUAAUGUUAAUGUGCUAUUGUUGUUCACUACUCAAUAUAGUUCUGGACUAACAAUCAGAUUGUUUAUGAUAUUAAGGUGGUUGGAUCUCUAUUGGUAUUGUCGGCGAUUGGAAGUUCUUGCAGCUUGACAAGUCUACUAUAUAUUGGUAGGUAUUCCAGAUAAAUAUUAAAUUUUAAUAAAACAAUCACACAGAAGGAUCUGAGGAGAAACAAUUUAGAGUCAAGAUCAUAUAAAGCUAAACUUUCACAAUGACAAGUUUGUAUUUCUUACUUCACAGGAUUCUUGUGCGCGCACACUUUGCCAGUGUUGUACCAAAGAUAUAAGACAGAAGUUGACCAUCUAGUUGCAAAGGGUAGCGACGACAUCAAGAAGUUCUACAAGAAGGUUGAUUCCAAUCUGCUCAACAAAAUACCAAGAGGCCCUGUGAAGACAAAAGUUAAAUGAAAUGUACACCGCGAGGCUGUCAGAACAUAUAAAUAAUUCAUUUGAAAGAGAACGGACAUACACUGGAAAAGAUUUCGAGAACUUAAUAGAAGUAGCAAAGUGUCAUGGACUGACAGUCCAC